ensembl:lncRNA
UUGGGCUUUUGGGGUUGAGGAACUGGAUUCAUUGGGCUGAGAAGUUGGGUUCAUUGGGUUGAGGAAUUGAGUUUGUUGGGUUGAGAAGUUGGGGUUUUGGGUUGGGUUUGUUGGGGUUUUGGGGUUGAGGAGUUGGGUUUGUUGGGUUAAGAAGUUGGGUUUGUUGGAUUUGUUGGGUUGAGGACAUGGGUUCAUUGGGUUAAAGAGUUGGGGUCAUUGGCUUGAGAAGUACACCCAGUGCCAAACGUGAGGAAUAUCUGUGUUGGCAUCACAGGCUGCUCUCCUUGCUCAAAAUGAGAAGUUCUGCCCUAAAUUGGGCCCUAAACCCCCGGCUGCUCCCAUCCAUCACCUGUGUGAUGAGCCCACAGGACUCAGCUCCUAUCGCACCCCGUGAGAGCAGAGAUCUCCUACGUGUGGGAUGUGAAUCAUGCCCUGAAACGUGACCCAGGGCGGCCACAGGGAAAUGCUGAGCACGGGGCGGCUGCUCAGGCUCAGUCUCGUUGUGUCUGCUCAGUGAAUCUUUAAUUAGCCUAUGCAAAUCCCAGCAGCCUCUAAUUGUCCUAAUCCCAAGGUUGCUCUCGCUUCCGAUGUUUUAGUGGCUGCUUUCUCUUCUGCUGGGCUGAGGAUGCUCCAAACUCAUCUCACAUCCUGAGAUGGGAAAGGUCAUUCCUCCCCACACCUCUCUCCUCCAUUUGGUGGCUCCUAUCCCAAAAAGGUCCUAACCCAAAAAGGCCCAAAAAAGCCAAGCCCACCUGUAAGCCACAUGGCCCUCUUGUGUCAGGACAGAGCUGUGGACCAAGGUGAUGCUGAAUGGGGACAGCAGGAGACACAUCUCCCACUGAGCAUCCCAAUGGAUGCAGCACUUGUGCAGUGGUUGCAUCGGCCUUAAUACAUCCGGGCAAGGAAGGGGGAUCACGGGGUGCACACUCAGCUGCCAUUAACAGGAGAUUGGGGGUUUGUUGCUCCGUGGAUGGUGCUUGGAUCCUGUUUGCUUAGGGGAUGGUUCUCGGACCCCAUUUGCUUAGGGGUGCUGUUUGCAGCAGCGCUGCCUUUCCGUGAGGAUCAGCACAUUUUUUGACUGCAAAGCACUCAAAAAGCACCGACCCGAAGCAGACUCCUCCAGCAUGGGGGUGCAGCUCAUGCCAGCACCCAGCCCUGCCUUCGUGGUUCUGGCAGGGGAUCAGGGUGAGAUCUCUCCUUGGGCUCAGUUCCCCUGAGCUGGCGGAGAUCUUUGCCUGGGGAUGAGGUGACUCACAGCCUGCAGUGCCCAAUGCCUCCCACCGCUGCCCGGACACGCACGGCUGCAUGCAGCAGUGAUGUCAGCCCCUAUGGGAUGCAGAUCACAGACAGCAUCAUCUCAUCCCCAUCAAAGGGACACACGUUGUUCCCUCCUUCCCUGGGUAGAAAGCU